GACGAACGCUGGCGGCGUGCUUAACACAUGCCAGUCGAACGGAAAGGCCUGCUUUCCCUUGUGGAUUGCGGGUACUCGAGUGGCGAACGGGUGAGUAACACGUGAGUGAUCUGCCCCCAACUUGGGUAUAAGCCUGGGAAACUGGGUCUAAUUCCCGAUAGGACUGCAGGGUGGUGCCUGUGGUGGAAAACGAUUUUCUAGUGGUUGGGGAUGAGCUCGCGGCCUAUCAGCUUGUUGGUGGGGUAAUGGCCUACCAAGGCGGCGACGGGUAGCCGGCCUGAGAGGGUGGACGGCCACAUUGGGACUGGGAUACGGCCCAGACUCCUACGGGAGGCAGCAGUGGGGAAUAUUGCACAAUGGGCGGAAGCCUGAUGCAGCGACGCCGCGUGGGGGAUGACGGCCUUCGGGUUGUAAACUCCUUUCGACCGCGAGGAAGCCACCUGGUUGGAAGGGUGGUGACGGUAGUGGUAGAAGAAGCACCGGCUAACUACGUG
rnacentral:rRNA from 1 species